UGUGUAGAGGCAAAGAUAAGGAUGUAUUUUGGGAACCAAGCUGACUGUUGCAAUACCUGCGAGUAUUUUUAAAUUGAGAUCGGGAAUGUAAGGAAAGGUAGAUAGAGGCUAUCAUUAAAUCUGCAUUGGUUUGUUUGAAAAACAAGCACUGUAUGUUACUUUCAGAGCGUCCCUUAUCAGAGAUGCAAAGGAAUUGCAUUGGGAUUUUCAAACGCAUCCGAAGAUGAAGGGCCUCAUUUCCUUUCACACGAACUUGGCAGGAGUUACUCCCAGAUCAAACCUAGGGCUUUUCCUUUUAGAAGUGGAAAUUCUUGUUUUGCAGCCAAGCGAGCAACAAUACAAAUUUCAGAGAACAGACAUGAUUCAGCCUUGCAGGAAAAGCCCACCACCUCCGAGGCAUGGCUUAGCAAGAAGUGGCUGCGCUGCUCCCAGUUCUGAGGUUUUUAGGACUGUCUGUCCUUUGGGGAGUGCUGUGUGGAUUUGGUGAUGUUUGUCUGGAUCUCCUGCCUGCCAACCCCUCUGGAAAUGAGAUAGCUGUUUGGAGACCGGCAGAGGGUUAUUUUUAGAUCCAUUUAGAGCCAUUUUUGUGUGUUUGGCAGCUCCAUGAAGGAGCUGUCCGGGGAAGCCGCCGAGCCCCAGCGCCCCCGGAGGAUGCUCGGGAGCCCCGGGAAGGAGCAAGGGCAGCCCGGGAUGAUGGAAAUGCAGAACCCCCGAGCAUCCCGGGACCUGCUGCCGAUCCACCGCCCCUGGCCCUUCCUGCUUACAGGGAACUGGCCCAGGAAAAAUCGGUUUGAGGAGUAUGGAGAUCACGUUUGGAGUGUGAUAUAUGUCCCAGCACAAUUCUCCUCUUAAAAAAAAUAAUAAAUGUGACUUCUGAAUGAAGCUACAAUAAGCAGAGUAUUUCCAAAUGUUCAAGCAGAAUCGAGCUGGAAUUGGGUUAUUUUUCCUCGUGGAAGUAAAUUCAAUUUCAGAGUAAUUCAAAGCAUUAGUAGCAUACUUUUAAUCACGACGACCCUUGCAGCCGCAGGACGAGCCUGGCUGGGCAGGUAAAGGUGUUUCACACCCUGCAGAGGGAGGAGCACACUCGGGAGACACAAAAACAUCAGCAAACACGGCUGCUCCAGGAGGAACUUUUGGCAGAUACAUUUUUCGAAAUAAAUGUGAAAAUCUACAAACUAACUUGGCAAAGCACAAGAAGCUGUGAGGACAGAGGGACAGGAGGAGAGCUGACUUCCUCCAACAGCACUAAAAAAGUAAAAUGCGAACACCAGAAGAACCAGGGAACGUGAUGAGUGGAAAUUAAUGGAUUUGGGCUAUGUUUUGCCUUUUCCUGCCUGAGAGGCAUCGGUAUGGAAAGCAGUGAGUCUGCAGAUGCCGGUGCUGAAUGCCAAGUCCCGGUUCCUGCGGGGAUUGGCAGGGCUGGAUGUUCCCCAGAACGAGGAGGGGUCACAGGAGUGCGGCAGGAGCAGGAGGGAGUUCAGCUCCUGCUUGCUUGGAGUGUGACAUUCAGCUGGCUCCUGCAUUUGCCGGGCUUUUUGAUGCAAGCUUCUUUUGUUGUUUUUUUCUUUCUCUGGCUUUUCAGUAAUUUUUUUAAGUGCUAAUUAGAGAAUUAGGAACACUCACCUCCCACGCAUCAAUUUGUCAUGUUCUGCUUUGCCACAGUAAUUCCAAUAAAGGAUUUUGUAAUCUC